rnacentral:rRNA from 1 species
GACGAACGCUGGCGGCGUGCCUAAUACAUGCAAGUCGAACGCACUCUCGUUUAGAUUGAAGGAGCUUGCUCCUGAUUGAUAAACAUUUGAGUGAGUGGCGGACGGGUGAGUAACACGUGGGUAACCUGCCCUAAAGUGGGGGAUAACAUUUGGAAACAGAUGCUAAUACCGCAUAAAACCUAAACACCGCAUGGUGUAGGGUUGAAAGAUGGUUUCGGCUAUCACUUUAGGAUGGACCCGCGGUGCAUUAGUUAGUUGGUGAGGUAAAGGCUCACCAAGACCGUGAUGCAUAGCCGACCUGAGAGGGUAAUCGGCCACACUGGGACUGAGACACGGCCCAGACUCCUACGGGAGGCAGCAGUAGGGAAUCUUUCCACAAUGGACGAAAGUACUGAU